GGCAGUGUAGCAUAGUGGUAAGGUGCAGGGCUUGUAACCAAAAGGUUGUUGGAUCAACCCCGCUGGGGCAUUGCUG